GGAAAAAGCCGCCCGUAUGAUUCAAUUACCUUCCACCAUUUAUUACGCUAAGAGUUCUCACUCCUUCACUUAUCACCAUAAAUAGCCAGAGGACAAUUCUGUACUGGAAACCCAUUAUGAGAAUCUGCCUUCUAGGAAUCCACUUCUAAUACCACUUGUCUUUGUUUUGAUUUACCCAAAAUCAACCUUGAGAUGGGAAUUCAAGUAUCAGUGGUUUAUUGGAAAUAUUUGUAGGUGAUAUGGAUGGUGACAUUGCAAUGAUCUUUCCUCUUGCUUACUUCAAUGAACUUGAAAAUAUGGUUGCAUUUUAAAAGGCCUGUGCUACCUUUAUGAGCUGUAGCACUCACUGCAGAGGUCUGCGGCUUCACUCCUGAAGUCAAGUCGGGGAGACCAUGAAACCACCGGAAGGAAGAAACCCCGGACACAUCUGAACAUGUGAAGGAACAAACUCCUGACACAACAUCUUUACGAACUGUAACGCUCACCGUGAGGGUCUGCGGCUUCAUUCUUGAAGUCAGCGAGACCGAGAACCCACUGGAAGGAACCAAUUCCAGACACAUUAUCACUAAUUAAACCUAUGUCUGUACCUUCUAGCAUUAUAUAUAAAAAGUGCAACAUAGAAAACAAAAUUUAAAUCCACAACUAUUUAAUAUUCACAACUUCUGGAUUUAUCUCAUGUUGCAAACUAUUUUUGUUACCCUAUUCUUUGAGAAAUAUAAAACAUCAGUAUUUC
rnacentral:lncRNA from 10 species